rnacentral:rRNA from 1 species
GGGCCCGCACAAGCGGUGGAGCAUGUGGUUUAAUUCGAUGAUACGCGAGGAACCUUACCAGGGCUUAAAUGGGAGAUGACAGGGGCAGAGACGCCCUUUUCUUCGGACAUUUUUCAAGGUGCUGCAUGGUUGUCGUCAGCUCGUGCCGUGAGGUGUCAGGUUAAGUCCUAUAACGAGCGCAACCCCUACCGUUAGUUGCCAGCGUUGUAAUGACGGGGACUCUAACGGAACUGCCGGUGCAAACCGUGAGGAAGGUGGGGACGACGUCAAAUCAUCACGGCCCUUACGUCCUGGGCCACACACGUGCUACAAUGGUGGUGACAAUGGGUUAAUCCCAAAAAGCCAUCUCAGUUCGGAUUGGGGUCUGCAACUCGACCCCAUG